AAUUAUCUGUCACGAAGAUUUGGCCUGCAAUGUUAAAAAAAUGAAAUACAGUACAAUUAAAUUUAAAUAAAUUUUAAAAAUAACAGGAAUAAAACUGAGAUAAAAUAAAAUGUCGGUACACAUAAAAGAUUUAUCUUGCAAGAAGAAAUCGGGACUGUGCUGGAACGAUAUGGAAGAGCUAAAGUAUCUGAUAUGUACUAUUGACAGUUGCACAAGCCCAAGCAUUCCAUCGCCACCGUCGUGCAGCAUAAUUUUGCCCCCGAGAAUUGAAGAAAUUCCUUGCAAAAGUCCACCUAGGAGGCCACCUUGCAUCCCACCACCUCAAUGUUGUCCGAUAAUACCUGGACCUUGUUGCCCUCAGUUGUCACUUCUGACACCUUACUGCAAUCCUUGCCAUCCUUGCAUUCCAUUACCGUGUUAUUCAAGCAAAUAGAAAGAAACUUAAGCUUAAGAAACUUCAGAAAAUAAAGAAAAUCUUAUGCACUAUUUGUCAUUUUGGGAUAAGCAACGACGAGUAUAAAGAUAAAAAAGGAAACCCUUUCAUGGCUGAAAUAAAGGAAGGAAAUUUAUUAUAAAUCCAUAUAAAACAUUCAUAUUUUGCUUGAUUUUAACGAAAAAUCUGUACGUAUAUGAUCGGCAGAAUCUAAUCAAAAUAUCGGAUAUCUUUUUCUCUUUUCGGAAAAGCGAGAUCAAUGCAACCCCACAACGGUGGUCCACGACAUCAUAUGGUCUGUUUUCUGUUCCUGCACUAGACUGCACUAGAACUUUUUUUCUCGUUUUCGACAAAUAUCAAACAUAUUCCUAUCUCACUUUAAUUUUUAAAAGUGUAGUUUACACUAGUUUAGCAGAAAACAGAUAUAUCUAUAGAAUAAUAUCGAUAGCCGCAUAUUUCACGGGAUUGCACGAUAUGUUCUAAAUAAAAGUGUCACUGCCGUUCUUAUAAACAAUAUCAAUGAUGAAUAAACACCAUUAUGAUACAGACAGAAUCAUAUUCGUAUCUCACGCGCAUCUAUCAUAGCUUAAAUAUCGAUAGCAAAUAACCGAGGCUAUUUUGCCUACGAGAUUACUUUGCUUGGUCGAUUGUGUGUUUAUUUUGUUCCCACCAACACAACAGGAUAUCAUCUAUAUUUCUGUAUCGCUCGAGGAUUCCGACGUUGGCGAACGUAUCUUUAUACUGAUUACAUUUUAGCAUAUGCGCUCUCCUUUAAGUUCAGACAAUUCGCGAUCAAAGAUUUCAAUCAUCACAGAUUUCAGCGAAACUAUUUCUUUUUUUUUUCUUUUUUUUUCAGAAAAGUGCUGUUAUGAAUUCCCAUAUGUCUUGAUUCUUUUGAUCAAAUGAUUUUCAUCUGCUACUGUGUUGUAUCUUUGAUCUAUUAAGGGGGAACACCACUCCAGUCAGAAAUCGAUGUCGGUUCGACGUCGAAAGCAUCAAAUCGACAUCGAUUCGAUGUUGAUCCCAUUAUUAUUUCUAACUGGAAUCUUUGAGACUUAAAAUUAAAUGAUAUCUAAUUUUAGCAAUUUUUUGCAGUAAACUAAAGUCAAUUAAAAAUUGUUUUUAAGGGCUUUACUAUAUGAAUUUUCUUGAGAAUAGACGAGUACAAAAAAUUUGUU